rnacentral:rRNA from 1 species
CGAAGGGGGCUAGCGUUGUUCGGAAUUACUGGGCGUAAAGGGCGCGUAGGCGGCUGUGCAAGUCAGAUGUGAAAGCCCUGGGCUCAACCCAGGAUGUGCAUUUGAUACUGCAUGGCUAGAGUGUCGGAGAGGAUGGUGGAAUUCCCAGUGUAGAGGUGAAAUUCGUAGAUAUUGGGAAGAACACCGGUGGCGAAGGCGACCAUCUGGACGACAACUGACGCUGAGGCGCGAAAGCGUGGGGAGCAAACAGGAUUAGAUACCCUGGUAGUCCACGCCGUAAACUAUGCGUGUUGGACGUUGGCCAGCCUAGCUGGUCGGUGUCGCAGCUAACGCGUUAAACACGCCGCCUGGGGAGUACGGCCGCAAGGUUA